GCUGUGGAGUGGCAGCGGGGAGGCGACCAUGGAAGAAAAGCUCCAGGCGCAUCAGGUGGAGAUCGACCCGGAUUUCGAGCCGCAGAGCCGUCCCCGCUCCUGCACUUGGCCUCUCCCCCAUCCCGACUUGGCGGCGGAGGAGGAAGAUGGGGGCGCGGGGGGAACCCCGGCGCUGGCGGCCGGCGGGGACGGAGCCGAGAACGCGGCGGCCCCGGUGGAGCGCAGAGUCGCCGCCGCUCCCCCGCCGCCUCCCGGCGCGGAUGUGGGGCAGCUCCGCAAGGCCAAGACCUCCCGGCGCAACGCCUGGGGCAACCUCUCCUACGCCGACCUCAUCACCAAAGCCAUCGAGAGCUCGCCGGAGAAGCGCCUCACCCUCUCCCAGAUCUACGACUGGAUGGUGCGAUACGUCCCCUACUUUAAGGAUAAAGGAGACAGCAACAGCUCCGCCGGCUGGAAGAACUCCAUCCGGCACAACCUGUCCCUGCACACCCGCUUCAUCCGCGUGCAGAACGAGGGCACCGGGAAGAGCUCCUGGUGGAUGCUGAACCCCGAGGGCGGCAAGACGGGCAAGACUCCACGGCGGAGGGCGGUGUCCAUGGACAACAACAGCAAGUUCCUGCGCAUCAAGGGCAAGGCCAGCAAGAAGAAGCAGCUGCAGGUGACGCAGGAGCGUGGGGAGGACAGCCCGUCCUCGCAGCAAGCCAAGUGGUCCGAGAGCCCCGUGUCCCACGCCAGCGACGAGUACGAUGCCUGGGCGGACUUCCGGACGCGGGCCAACUCCACGGCCAGCACGCUGAGCGGCCGCCUCUCGCCCAUCAUGGCCAACCACGAGCCCGACGAGCUGGAGGAGGAUGAUGGUACGCCCUCAUCCCCGCUGAUGUACCCCAGCCCCUCCAGCACCAUGUCUCCUUCCCUCAGCACCCGCUGCUCCGUGGAGCUGCCCCGGCUGACCGACCUGACCGGCACCAUCAGCCUGAACGAGAGCCUGGGGGAGAGCAUGCUGGAGGACCUGCAGGAUGGCUACAGCAUGAGCCCCUCUCAGCAGCUCCCCCCGGCCGCCCUGCGGCAGCGCAGCUCCAGUUUCACCUUCAACUCCAAGUGCUCCAGCAUGGGGGCCGCCUCCAACACCUACUGCGGGACCAUCUACAGCCAGCCGGCCAUGAGCCUCAUGCGCCGCCUGCCCAUGCAGACCAUCCAGGAGAACAAGCAGGCCACCUUCUCGCCCGUCAGCUCCUACAGGAACGCCUCGCUGCAGGACCUGCUCUCCUCCAUCUCCUACGCGCACAAGGAGAGCAUGGUCCCGGGGGGCGACCUGCCCCUGCCGCAGGCCAGCCCCAUGGUGCCGGCCCGUGGCCACAGACACAACCCGCUGCUGUGCGGGGGUGGGGAGCAGGGCUUGUCCUCCUACCCGCCCCACCCGGGCUCUCUGAUGAAGAGCAACGCGUUGUACCACCCGUCACCAGCCGGCCACCACCCUGCGGUCAACACCAGUGCCUUAGCCAAUCCCGUCAGCCUUAUGAGCCUGCCCAGUGACUCGUGCAGCAUGACGGCCAUGCCGCACCACGGGCACCUGCAUUCCUACGCUAAUAACCAAGGGGCACACAUGAGCUUGCUGGAUUCGCUGCAGGGCCCCUACCCGGGGGCCGUCCACCCCCCCGUGUUGGGCCAAGACAGGUUCCCAGCAGACCUGGACCUGGACAUGUUCAACGGGAGCCUGGAGUGCGACGUGGAGUCCAUCAUCCUCAAUGACUUUAUGGACAGCGAUGAGAUGGACUUCAACUUCGACUCGGCGCUCCCGCCGCAGAACGGGCUCAACGUGCCCGCGCUGCCCGGGGGGCCACAGCCCACGAACCAGAGCUGGGUGCCCGGGUGAGCCUGCCCUGGCACAGGCUCGCCACUGGGAAGCCACGAGGGGAACAUUGAGACUAACUUUUUUUUUUCCUUUCUCUUCUGCCUUUGUUUGUUAAGAUGGGCGAGAGCCAUCGGUCUGAGCUUGAGGUCGAACACGGAACACAAACCAGAGGGUCAAAUAUUGAGAUGGGGGAGGACCCCCAGCCCCACUGCCCCAUGGCAAUGGUGCCAGUUUGAUUUGCCCUUGGGCUGGGUGACAGAGUGGUGAUGGCUGAUGGUGUGGUGAUGUGGGACCCUCCCCACAUGGGCAUCCCCCCUGGGAAGGGACUCUUCUCUGAGCCACCUUGGGAAAUGAGUCCUCUGGGUAGAAGUGUCAGGAGUGGGGACCCUGCCCCAGGGCAAGGGGGGGCUCAUGACCCCUCGUCCUGGUGGAGAUCAGAGCUCUGCCGAGCCCACACCCCCAGGCCACCUCCCCUGCAGGUGUCCUCGUGUGGCUCCGGGCAGUGACAAGGGGGUGGUGAUGAUGUGCAGUCAGCAGCCCUGGGAGCAGCAUCUCAGCAGUCCCCAGG